UACAGAGGGUGCGAGCGUUGUUCGGAAUUAUUGGGCGUAAAGGGCGCGUAGGCGGUGCAGUAAGUCACCUGUGAAAUCUCCUGGCUCAACUGGGAGCUUGCAGGCGAAACUGCCGUGCUGGAGUGUGGGAGAGGUGCGUGGAAUUCCUGGUGUAGCGGUGAAAUGCGUGAGAUAUCAGGAGGAACACCUGUGGCGAAAGCGGCGCACUGGACUACAACUGACGCUGAGGCGCGAAAGCUAGGGGAGCAAACAGG
rnacentral:rRNA from 1 species